rnacentral:sRNA from 1 species
GCCUGGCGUUGUGGUGGGCGCCUGUGGUCCCAGCUACUUGGAGGCUGAGGCAAGAGACUUGCUUGAGCCCAGAAGCUGGAGGUUGCUGUGAGCUGUGAAGCCAUGGCAUUCUACCCAGGGGGAUAGCCUGAGGCUCUGUCUCAAAAAAAAAAAAAAAAAAAAAGAAUUUUGUUUUUUUGAGAUACCCUGGGUAGAGGUGCAUGGCACCACCACAGCUCAUGGAACCUCGAAUUCUUGGGCUCAAACGAUUUUCUUGCC